UGAACAUAAUUUUUGUUUUUUUAACCGAACGUUCAAUGAUUAGUUAUAGAUUUUCAUUGAAAAAAUAGACGAUUACAGAUUAAUGGCAGGUAGACGGAAAAAAGGUUGAACCAAUUCCAUGGCGGGUGGUGAAGGAUAAGGCACUUCAUUAGAGUUUACACCGACGUGGGUUGUACCACGGUCUAUACGAUCAUCAAUCUAAAGGAGCUAGGUUCAAAGCCACUCUAUUCCUUUCUUUCACACAGUGAAAGUUCCAUGAGUGAUCCGUUGGUGAAAUUUUGUCGCUAAUCCUCCGCUAGUAUUAUCACGGUGAUCAGAAAAUUCUCUCCGCCACUGCCUCUCGGUAAUCCAUCAUCAAAAACUUUUUGUCGUCUCCUGGUGAAGUCUUUACCCAUACUAGGGGUUAUUAUGGACCUUUACUAACGGAUCAUGAUGGUUGCUCACUAAGAGAUUUCAUACGGACAUAUCUGUUGAUGAAUGCUGCUAGAAAAGAUUUUUUUUACAAAACUAAUGCUUAUUUUGAAAACUUGAUCACUGUAGGAGAUGUGUCACAAUUCUAUUAAAAUUAUAUUUAUAAAAAAAUAAAAAAGAUAAUCUCAUUAUAUAUUUGGGAAAUUGUAGUACACAUACCAUGUACAAAUCCAAUAAAAAUAAUUUUUAAUACAAUAUAUGUAAAUAAAGUGAUUCAAACCGUAGUUUUCAACAAGAGAUUCAAUCGUGUCUUCAUGUACGAUUCUUUGCGUAGUCUUUGAUGAGAGCUUAAAUUAAGUCUUCUUGUACGAUCCUUUGUUACAAGAAAGGACAAAAAAGCGCUCACGGUUAUGGUUGAGGCGUGUAUUCAACACGUUUCCCUUAAAACAGAUUUCACGACUCUACUUUGACAACGU